AAUGAACGUUGGCGGCGUGGAUUAGGCAUGCAAGUCGGACGCCCCGCAAGGGGCGUGGCGCAAGGGUGAGUAAGGCGACGGCAACCAACCCCAUGGUCGGGCAUAGCCGCGAGAAAUCGCGGGUAAUUCCCGGCGACGUCACCGGGUGGCAUCCCCCGGUGACCAAAGGUGCGAUUCCGCCGUGGGACGGACCGUCGUGGUAUCAGGUCGUUGGCGGGGUAAUGGCCCACCAAGCCUUAGACGCCUACCGGGCGUGCGAGCGUGGCCCGGCACACUGGGACUGAGACACUGCCCAGACUCCUACGGGAGGCUGCAGUCGAGAAUCUUCGGCAAUGGGCGCAAGCCUGACCGAGCGACGCCGCGUGGAGGACGAAGGCCUUCGGGUUGUAAACUCCUGUCGAGGGGGAGGAAGGGGUCGUGAAGAACGAUCCUUGACCGAUCCCUGGAGGAAGCACGGGCUAAGUUCGUGCCAGCCGCCGCCGUAAAAC
rnacentral:rRNA from 1 species